CCUACGGGAGGCAGCAGUGGGGAAUAUUGCACAAUGGUUGCAAGCCUGAUGCAGCCAUGCCGCGUGUGUGAAGAAGGCCUUCGGGUUGUAAAGCACUUUCAGUCAGGAGGAAAGGUUAGUAGUUAAUACCUGCUAGCUGUGACGUUACUGACAGAAGAAGCACCGGCUAACUCCGUGCCAGCAGCCGCGGUAAU
rnacentral:rRNA from 1 species